rnacentral:rRNA from 1 species
ACUCCUACGGGAGGCAGCAGUGGGAAUAUUGCACAAUGGGCGCAAGCCUGAUGCAGCCAUGCCGCGUGUAUGAAGAAGGCCUUCGGGUUGAUAAAGUACUUUUCAGCAGUGAGGAAGGUGGGUAUGUUAAUAGCAUACUUCAUUUGACGUUAGCUGCAGAAGAAGCACCGGCUAACUCCGUGCCAGCAGCCGCGGUAAUACGGAGGGUGCGAGCGUUAAUCGGAAUUACUGGGCGUAAAGCGCAUGCAGGUGGUUUGUUAAGUCAGAUGUGAAAGCCCGGGGCUCAACCUCGGAAUUGCAUUUGAAACUGGUAGGCUAGAGUCUUGUAGAGGGGGGUAGAAUUUCAGGUGUAGCGGUGAAAUGCGUAGAGAU